UACGGAGGGUGCGAGCGUUGUCCGGAAUCACUGGGCGUAAAGGGCGCGUAGGCGGCUCAUGAAGGCUGUGGUGAAAGUCCGGGGCUCAACCUCGGAUCGGCCGUGGCGACUCGUGGGCUGGAGCACUGUAGAGGCGGGUGGAAUUCCGGGUGUAGCGGUGGAAUGCGUAGAGAUCCGGAAGAACACCAGUGGCGAAGGCGGCCCGCUGGGCAGUGGCUGACGCUGAAGCGCGACAGCGUGGGGAGCAA
rnacentral:rRNA from 1 species